rnacentral:lncRNA from 1 species
AUUAAAUCAUAUUUAUGUAGAUUUAUUUUAUAUUCAAAUCUAUUUGUAUAUGAAUAAAAAUUUAAAGUUUCAAUUAAUAUCCGCAUCUAUAUUUGUAUCCAGAAAAAAAGAUACAAAUAUAAAUAAAUGACUAUUCGAUACGUAUCCGAAUAUCUAUUUUUAAAUUUAUUUAAUUUAAAAAAUAAAUGACCAUAUUAAUGUAUUAUUAACUUGAUUUAUUAUCCGCUUAGUCAUAUUUUUGAUUUUAUGGUCAUAAAAUUUAAUUAUUCAAUUUAUAUCUGUACUUCUAGUAUCUGAUUUAUAUCUAUGUUUUUUUAAAGACAAAUAUGAAUAUAAAUUUUUGUAUCGAAUAAAAUAAAUAUGAAUAUAAAUAUACCAAUAUUCGAUAAAUAAUCAAUAUAAUAUCUGAUUUCAGCCCUAUC